AACGCAUAUUGCACCUUCUGGUAUUCUGGGAGGUAUGCCUGUUCGAGCGUCAUUAUAACUAACAAGCCUUAAAGCUUGGUGUUGGAUGUCACUUAUUAAUAAAGUGCAUCUUAAAAUCAAUAAGCAGUAUUCUUAGCUUCGAGCGGUAGUAAUUUAUCACGCUUCUGGUGCUUAGAUACUCUGCUGAAUAAUUUAUAAUGGUUUGACCUCGGAUCAGGUAGGGAUACCCGCUGAACUUAA
rnacentral:misc_RNA from 1 species